CAGUGUUACAGCUCUUUUAGAAUUUCUCUAGCAGGCUUUUUGGUUAUUGCCAGAAAGCUGAA
ensembl:snRNA U7 U7 small nuclear RNA